GCAGUCGCAGACGUCAUCAGCAUCUGAGCGCAGUCGCGGGUUCCCUGCUUGUUAUUUGAAGAAUUAAACCGUCGUCAGAAACGCUCACAACAUUUCCAAACCCCAGUAAAGUUAUUUGCAGUUAACCUCCGCUGUGUAGAAAAUGUAUGGUUUAAAUGUGACAGUCUCAACGUUGUAGUAGAUUUCCAGAUUCAUCUUGGUACAACGCCAGAGCUCACGGGGAGACGGAAUCACAUGAUCACAUGAGAAUAUGGACACAUCCUUUAAUGCGAAGUUUCUUGCUGGGACCCAAACAGAAGACGACUCCAGGCCCGAUCCGUGCCAAAGUCAGCAGUUUUGGUGCGGAUCAGGUGUGGAUCCGGACCCGAAGUCGUCUGCUGCCUAGGAUACUACACCCUUAUUGAUUUGGAAGCGAGUGGCUGUUUGUGAGGACAACUUCCGUCCUUCUGUUCAUCGCUGGCUGCCAGCCACCGGCAGGAAACAAAGACUGAUUUAUGCAAAUAUCCACGGCAGUUCCUCUCUCUCUCAACCUCGACAGCACAUUCUCCACAAUCUUCUGUCUGCUGUAUCUGCUAGAAUUAAAAUAUUUCUAUCAGAUGAAAACACACCAUCGCGCCGAGACACUGAACAUCUCCAUCCAAACACACUUGCUUUUAUCCGCUUGAAUUUGCAGCGCUAAUAAAGUUAAUAAGUUGUUUUUUAGAAA